rnacentral:misc_RNA from 1 species
AAGCUGCGAUAAGUAGUGUGAAUUGCAGAAUUCAGUGAAUCAUCGAAUCUUUGAACGCACAUUGCGCCCCUUGGUAUUCCAUGGGGCAUGCCUGUUCGAGCGUCAUUUGUACCCUCAAGCUCUGCUUGGUGUUGGGUGUUUGUCCCCGUCUCCGCGCGUGGACUCGCCCCAAAGUGAUUGGCAGCCGGCGUACUGGUCCCGGAGCGCAGCACAUGUCGCGCAAACGAGUGCCUUGGUACGGCGGCGUCCAUAAGCCCCUCUCUCACGCUCUUGACCUCGGAUCAGGUAGGGAUACCCGCUGAACUUAAGC